rnacentral:rRNA from 1 species
UACGACGGGGGCUAGCGUUGCUCGGAAUCACUGGGCGUAAAGGGUGCGUAGGCGGGGCUUUAAGGCAGGGGUGAAAUCCUGGAGCUCAACUCCAGAACUGCCUUUGAUACUGAGGAUCUUGAGUUCGGGAGAGGUGAGUGGAACUGCGAGUGUAGAGGUGAAAUUCGUAGAUAUUCGCAAGAACACCAGUGGCGAAGGCGGCUCACUGGCCCGAUACUGACGCUGAGGCACGAAAGCGUGGGGAGCAAACAGG